UGGGGAAUUUUGGACAAUGGGCGCAAGCCUGAUCCAGCCAUGCCGCGUGCAGGAUGAAGGCCUUCGGGUUGUAAACUGCUUUUGUACGGAACGAAAAGACUCCUUCUAAUAAAGGGGGUCCAUGACGGUACCGUAAGAAUAAGCACCGGCUAACUACGUGCCAGCAGCCGCGGUAAUACGUAGGGUGCAAACGUUGCUCGGAAUCAUUGGGCGUAAAGCGCACGUAGGCGGCGAAGCAAGUCGGGUGCGAAAGCCCUGGGCUCAACCCAGGAAGUGCAUUUGUGACUGUAUAGCUAGAGUACGGUAGAGGGGGAUGGAAUUCCGCGUGUAGCAGUGAAAUGCGUAGAUAUGCGGAGGAACACCGAUGGAGAAGGCGAUCCCCUGGACCUGUACUGACGCUCAUGCACGAAAGCGUGGGGAGCAAACA
rnacentral:rRNA from 1 species